GAAGAAAGAGGCGAAAAAGAAGAGAGAAAGGAAAAAGAGGAGAAAGAAAAAGAAAAAGAU
rnacentral:ribozyme from 1 species